rnacentral:rRNA from 1 species
UACGGAGGGUGCAAGCGUUAAUCGGAAUUACUGGGCGUAAAGCGCGCGUAGGCGGCGUGUUAAGUCAGAUGUGAAAUCCCAGGGCUUAACCUUGGAAUGGCAUUUGAUACUGGCACGCUAGAGUGUAACAGAGGGUCGAGGAAUUCCCGGUGUAGCGGUGAAAUGCGUAGAGAUCGGGAGGAACACCAAUGGCGAAGGCAACGGCCUGGGUUAACACUGACGCUGAGGUGCGAAAGCGUGGGGAGCAAACAGG